rnacentral:tRNA from 1 species
ACAGCGGUGAUUCAGUGGUAGAAUUCUUGCUUUCCACAUGGGAGACCUGGGUUUGAUUCCCAGCCAAUGGA